rnacentral:tRNA from 1 species
GCGGCAGCGCUCAUGGUCGAUGCAUUUCUGGAAAGAAAAGGGGCGGUUCGAUUCCGCCCUGCCGCA